rnacentral:misc_RNA from 1 species
UGCGGCUGGAUCACCUCCUUUCUAAGGAGCACCACGAAAAGCACUCCAAUUGGUGGAGUGCAAGCCGUGAGGGGUUCUCGUCCGUAGUGGACGAAAGCCGGGUGCACAACAGCAAAUGAUCGCCAGACACACUAUUGGGCCCUGAGACAACACUCGGUCAAUCCGCGUGGAGUCCCUCCAUCUUGGUGGUGGGGUGUGGUGUUUGAGUAUUGGAUAGUGGUUGCGAGCAUCUAGAUGAGCGCGUUGGUCUUUAUGGCCGGCGUAAUCAUCGAAAUGUGUAAUUUCUUCUUUGGUUUUUGUGU